AACCCCCUGAUGUACUGUAAGCUACAGUAGGAAACACCCUGAUGUACUGAAACCCCCUGAUGUACUGUAACCCCCUGAUGUACUGUAAGCUACAGUAGGAUUCCCCUGAUGUACUGAAACCCCCUGAUGUACUGAAACCCCCUGAUGUACUAUAAGCUACAGUAGGAAACCCCCUGAUGUACUGUAACCCCCUGAUGUACUAUAAGCUACAGUAGGAAACACCCUGAUGUACUGUAAGCUACAGUAGGAAACCCCUGAUGUACUGAAACCCCCUGAUGUACUGUAAGCUACAGUAGGAAACCCCCUGAUGUACUGUAAGCUACAGUAGGAUUCCCCUGAUGUACUGUAAC
ensembl:lncRNA